AGCGGUACAGCUCAGUGGUAGAGCAUGUGCUUGGCGUGCGCAAGGUUCUGGGUUCAAUCCCCAGUGCCUCUG
rnacentral:tRNA from 1 species